rnacentral:rRNA from 1 species
GACGAACGUUGGCGGCGUGCUUAAUACGUGCAAGUCAACUGAAGCAGUGGUAGCAAUAUCGCUGUGGAGGUGGCGCACGGGUGAGUAACACGUAGGUAAUCUGCCUUCAGGUCUGGCAUAACUCCGGGAAACCGGGGCUAAUAGCAGAUGAUGCAGCGGCUCGACAUCGAGACAGUUGUUAAAGCUAUGGCGCCUGAAGAUGAGCCUGCGUCUGAUUAGCUAGUUGGCGGGGUAACGGCCCACCAAGGCAACGAUCAGUAGCUGGUCUGAGAGGAUGAUCAGCCACACUGGAACUGAGACACGGUCCAGACUCCUACGGGAGGCAGCAGUAAGGAAUAUUGCUCAAUGGGAGAAAUCCUGAAGCAGCAACGCCGCGUGAGGGACGAAGGGCUUUUGCUUGUAAACCUCUGUAGUGAGAGAAAAAAAUCCCAAUCUUUGGGACAUGAUGGUAUCUCAAAAGUAAGCCCCGGCUAACUACGUG